AUGCUGUGAGCUCGAUGAGUAGGGCGGGACACGUGGUAUCCUGUCUGAAUAUGGGGGGACCAUCCUCCAAGGCUAAAUACUCCUGACUGACCGAUAGUGAACCAGUACCGUGAGGGAAAGGCGAAAAGAACCCCGGCGAGGGGAGUGAAAAAGAACCUGAAACCGUGUACGUACAAGCAGUGGGAGCACAGGUUUACCUGUGUGACUGCGUACCUUUUGUAUAAUGGGUCAGCGACUUAUAUUCUGUAGCAAGGUUAACCGAAUAGGGGAGCCGGAGGGAAACCGAGUCUUAAUUGGGCGUUAAGUUGCAGGGUAUAGACCCGAAACCCGGUGAUCUAGCCAUGGGCAGGUUGAAGGUUGGGUAACACUAACUGGAGGACCGAACCGACUAAUGUUGAAAAAUUAGCGGAUGACCUGUGGCUGGGGGUGAAAGGCCAAUCAAACCGGGAGAUAGCUGGUUCUCCCCGAAAGCUAUUUAGGUAGCGCCUCGUGAAUUCAUCUCCGGGGGUAGAGCACUGUUUCGGCUAGGGGGCCAUCCCGGCUUACCAACCCGAUGCAAACUGCGAAUACCGGAGAAUGUUAUCACGGGAGACACACGGCGGGUGCUAACGUCCGUCGUGAAGAGGGAAACAACCCAGACCGCCAGCUAAGGUCCCAAAGUCAUGGUUAAGUGGGAAACGAUGUGGGAAGGCCCAGACAGCCAGGAUGUUGGCUUAGAAGCAGCCAUCAUUUAAAGAAAGCGUAAUAGCUCACUGGUCGAGUCGGCCUGCGCGGAAGAUGUAACGGGGCUAAACCAUGCACCGAAGCUGCGGCAGCGACGCUGAUGCGUUGUUGGGUAGGGGAGCGUUCUGUAAGCCUGCGAAGGUGGCCUGUGAGGGUUGCUGGAGGUAUCAGAAGUGCGAAUGCUGACAUAAGUAACGAUAAAGCGGGUGAAAAGCCCGCUCGCCGGAAGACCAAGGGUUCCUGUCCAACGUUAAUCGGGGCAGGGUGAGUCGACCCCUAAGGCGAGGCCGAAAGGCGUAGUCGAUGGGAAACGGGUUAAUAUUCCCGUACUUGGUGUUACUGCGAAGGGGGGACGGAGAAGGCUAUGUUGGCCGGGCGACGGUUGUCCCGGUUUAAGCGUGUAGGUGUGUGUUCCAGGUAAAUCCGGUU
rnacentral:rRNA from 1 species